UUUUUUUCUAAUUUUUUUU
rnacentral:sRNA from 1 species